rnacentral:tRNA from 1 species
GCCUCUGUGGCUCAGUGUGACAGCAUCUUCUGCUUGGAAUGCAGAAGGUCCCAGGUUCAAUUCCUGGCAUCUCCA